rnacentral:rRNA from 1 species
AGUGAACGCUGGCGGUAGGCCUAACACAUGCAAGUCGAACGGCAGCACAGUAAGAGCUUGCUCUUACGGGUGGCGAGUGGCGGACGGGUGAGGAAUACAUCGGAAUCUACUUUUUCGUGGGGGAUAACGUAGGGAAACUUACGCUAAUACCGCAUACGACCUACGGGUGAAAGCAGGGGAUCUUCGGACCUUGCGCGAUUGAAUGAGCCGAUGUCGGAUUAGCUAGUUGGCGGGGUAAAGGCCCACCAAGGCGACGAUCCGUAGCUGGUCUGAGAGGAUGAUCAGCCACACUGGAACUGAGACACGGUCCAGGCUCCUACGGGAGGCAGCGGUGGGGAAUAUUGGACAAUGGGCGCAAGCUUGAUCCAGCCAUACCGCGUGGGUGAAGAAGGCCUUCGGGUUGUAAAGCCCUUUUGUUGGGAAAGAAAAGCAGCAGGUUAAUACCCCGCUGUUCUGACGGUACCCAAAGAAUAAGCACCGGCUAACUUCGUG